rnacentral:rRNA from 1 species
UACGUAGGGAGCAAGCGUUGUCCGGAAUCAUUGGGCGUAAAGCGCGCGUAGGUGGCCCCGUAAGUCCGCUGUGAAAGUCAAAGGCUCAACCUUUGAAAGCCGGUGGAUACUGUGGGACUAGAGUACGGAAGAGGCGAGUGGAAUUCCUGGUGUAGCGGUGGAAUGCGCAGAUAUUAGGAAGAACACCAGUGGCGAAGGCGGCUCACUGGCCCGGUACUGACGCUGAGGCGCGAAAGCGUGGGGAGCAAACAGG